rnacentral:tRNA from 2 species
GCGCCCGUAGCUCAGUGGACAGAGCAGGGGACUCCUAAGCCUCUGGUCGGGGGUUCGAUUCCCUCCGGGCGCGCCA